rnacentral:rRNA from 1 species
UACGGAGGGAGCUAGCGUUGUUCGGAAUUACUGGGCGUAAAGCGCACGUAGGCGGCGAUUUAAGUCAGGGGUGAAAGCCCAGUGCUCAACACUGGAACUGCCCUUGAGACUGGAUUGCUAGAAUCUUGGAGAGGCGAGUGGAAUUCCGAGUGUAGAGGUGAAAUUCGUAGAUAUUGGGAAGAACACCGGUGGCGAAGGCGGCUCACUGGCUCGUAACUGACGCUCAGGCGCGACAGCGUGGGGAUCAAACAGG